AUUAAUAUAAAUAAUUUAAUAUUUAGCCUAUUAUAUAUACAAUUAGAACACUGAUUGUCUCACAGAACUGAAAUAUUGGAAUAAUGUGGUUUGAGGGCUGGUUGUUUUAGAGGCUAUAUUAUCUCAUCAAAGACUGACAUUCUUUCUCCGUCUCAGUCCUGCGAGCAUCAGGUUUGGCUUCAUCUUCUGGGUAGUAGCAAGAUGGCAGUAGCAGCAGUCAUAGGCAUCAUAUUGAGACACAUUGUUCAGAGGAAGAAGACGGAUUGUCAUUCUGCUUUCAAAAAGCACCCAGCAGACUUCCCUAUACAUUUUUUUAAGUAUUUAUUUAUUUAUAGAGACAAGGUCUUGCUCCAUCACCCAGGCCAGAGUGCAGUAGUGCGAUCAUAGCACACUGCAGCCUUGAACUCUAGGACACAAGCAAUCCUCCCCCCUCAGUCUCCUCAGUAGAUAGUCCUAUAGGUAUGCACCACCACACCUGGCUUAUUUUUUUAUUUUUUAUAGAGAUGGGAUCUUGCUCUGUUGUCCAGACUGGUCUUGAACUCCUGGCCUCAAGCAAUUCUCCCACUUGGCCUCCCAAAAUGUUGGGAAUACAGGCAUGAGCCACUGCACCUGGACUCCCUGUAAAUUUCUUUGGCCAGAAUUGGGUCACACACUCACUCCUGAAUUGGAAAGGGAAAUGAAGUGACUAUGCAGGUCCUCUGGGGUGAAAACCAUGCUGGAGUGGAGGCUGCGAUGCCCACCACACACAUCAGUGGCCAGCCUAUGGAUAGAUUGCAAUUAAGGUGCCCUCUGCUGGUGCAUACAGGGGUUAUCCCCAGCCCCAAACCCGCUGAGGCCAAAGGCCAACUUUGACCUGGCAUGGCAGGUGCCAGGACUGACACAUCUGUGCUCUCCUCAGGCAACAAUUUCUGUGGCCCUCAAGCUAUGCCUGGCCUCAGACUGAAGCAUCAGCUUCCAAAAUGAUGCAUUGUUCUCCCUGACUCCCGCACGCUCUGGCUUACAGAGGACCUGAGCAAGCAGAGCCGGCACCCCACCCCGGUGUUGGCCCCUGAAUCGGGGAAGGGAGACUCUGCCUGAGUCUGCUUUUGAUGGGGCUUCGCCAGCCCCGCAGGGCUCAUUUUCUCUGUCUCCUGCUAAAUUCCCUGGCUGCUCCUCCACUGUCAGGUUGCCAAGCCCCGAGUGUCUCCUGGCUCGUCUGCAGCAGGAAAUGGGCCUGACAAUUGCUCUUCCAGAGCCAGUGAUUUUUCAAUAUGUAGUUGCAUGGAUCCCACCCACGCUUCAUCUCCAAAACCCCCACUUGUGUUCAGCUCUGAUUUACUAAGCACGUACUACAAGCCUGGCUCUGUACUCAGCACUGCAGGUCGGGGAAGCAGGCAGGGCACAGAGGAGGCAUCUGAUGUGUUCUCUGCUCUCGGCCUCAUACUCCAGCCAUAGUUGAUGGCCACACACUUGGAAGUGAGCUUCCUAGCCAAGGUGGCCCUGGCGGACUACGGGGCACACAAGUGGUCCAGAUUAAAAAACAAUACUGUGUGGGUUCAGAGAAGGGCAAGGUUGACACAGGCAGUACGUGUGCUGAUUAUUCUGUCUGCCCCCUACUCACCCCUGUGUCCACUUUUCCCUGCCAUGUGUCCUGGAUGCAAUGGCUGCAGGCUGCAGCAACAGGCCCUUUGCCCCAGCUUCCAGUGGCCUUGCUGGUGGAGCAGUGGGCAGGAGGUCACAGAGCAGAGGAAAAGUGAGGCCGGGGUUUAUUUUCCCUGCUUCCUCCCUGUUUUGCUGUGAUUCUGGCACUGGCAGGUUCCUCCAGAGCUACAGCUCUGGCAGGACUAGGGGAGCUUGAUGGCUUCCUGCUGUUGCUGGUCCCCAUUUCCCUACUGGGUUCCCUGAGCCUCCCCACUCUGGAAGCAGCCCCUUUUUUCUUCAGAGUUGUCUUGAGGUUGUUUGCAUGAUGACUGGCAGACAAUGUUUAGGAAGUACUUCCUGCAGGAGCAGCACCCGCAUCUGGGCUCCUGAGAUGAGCUGAAGCUGGAUAAGCAGAGAAGAGGAAAAAGGGCUUUGUAGGGGCAGCACAGCCCCAGCAAUGUUCACGAAGAGAUGAAGUGAGCACUGGGAGACACUGCCUAGGCAGGGAGGGAAGGUGGAAAACAAGGCGGAGGCUCCCCGUGGAAGCCCUUGACUGCCAGUCCAGGGAACUUGGCCUUUGUCCCAUAGGCUACAUGGAGCUGCUGGAAGAGUUGCUUGGUGCUAAUAAAGCGAAAGUUUUGACUUUGUUAUUAAUGGCUUUGUUUUGGUUUUUAUUUCUACUUUUUCCUUGUUAUUGAUUUUAUUAUCAUCAUUAAUAACUACUAUGUAUUUAAUCCUUACUGUUAUGGGUUGAAUUGGGCCCCCUUUCAUUCGUAUGUUGAAGUCCUAACCCCCAGUCCCUCAGAGUGUGACCUUAACUGGAGACAGGGUCUUUGAAGAGUUAAAAUGAGAAUGGGCCCUAAUCCAAUAUGACUGGCGUCCUCACAAGAGGGAGAAAUUUGGACAUGGAGACACACAUAGAGAGAAGAUGAUGCAAAGGGAGAGGAAGACGGCCACAUCCACAAGCAAAGGAGAGAGGCCAGGAAGAGAUCCUGCCCUCACAGCCCUCGGAAGGAAACAACCCCCCAGCAGCUUGAUUUUGGACUCCUAGCCUCCAGAACCAUGAGACAGUAAGUUUCUGCUGUUUAAGUCUGUGGCUUCUUAUGGUAUUCCGAGGAAACUGACACAUUCAUCGUGGAACCGUCCUGUGCUGAGCAGUACAUCAUCAGACGUGUUCUCACUGCAGCUGCAACUUGUGGGCAAAACCUCUGGCCUAUCUGUGUCCCAGCACACUCUCAUUCUGGCCAUGGCACCUAGCACUCCGACACUUUCCCUUGGUUAUUAACAUAUUUGUUUACUGAGCGCCUAUCAUGUGCCAAGCACCAUUCUGUGUUCUGGGGAAACAGACAAAAACUCUUGCCAUCUUGGAGCUGAUUUUUGAUGAUUCUGUAUUUAUUUCCUGCCUGCCUCCACCAGAGGAAGAACCACUCGUGAGGGGGGCUGUGUCUGUUGCACUUACCACGGUGGAACACCUGUGGAAAGCAUGCUAAGGAAACUAAGAGUAAAACCUUGACUCCCCUUGCCCAUUUUGGAUUCAGUCACGUCUGAAGACCUUACUCACUUAAAAGACCCCUGGGCCUGUUGAUGAGGGCAGCUGCGUUCCCAAGUAAUAGUUGGUCCAAGGCCCUCUGGCCAUGGUGUGAGGAACAGGGCUUGGUGGCCUCGGGGGAAGAAGGCAGCUGGUGUGUGGUGUGGUGGACUGCUGUCACUACCCUCCUUGCUCAAUUUGCAGCCCUGAAAUUUGAGCUUUCAACUGCACUGUCUGCUGGAGGCAGGAAGGAAAGGAAAGAUGUUACCAGCUUUCUGGAGGCCCAAGUUGUGGGACAUAGAAAGCAGGUUCUAGAGGCUGAGAGAAUCCUUCCACCCCAUUUUCUGAGAAUUCUCACAGACAUUAUUUCCCCAUGCUAUCCUCUCUUGUUCCUCCCAAAGUCCUAAGACCCUUCCUGCCAGCCCCCUUCUCUGCCUCAUCUACUCUCUGUGUGGCCUGACAGUGCAGCUCCAUUUUCAGGUCUCAUGCCUUCUUUUGAGCCCUGUGAUCCUAAGCCUGGUCACCUUGACAGUGUAAUUAUACCUGAGUUACUCUGAACCCUGCCAGAUGUGGGAUUUCUCAGCCCACAACAACCAGGGGUGAAGAGAGCUGAUGCUCACAUAAGUUAGCGGGGACACCAGCUUCAGGGUGAUGUGCUCUCUUCCCACACCCACAUGCCAGACCCUGAAAUUUGGACAGCCAGCCCUGCUGACCAGGGAUCAAACACAAGCCCUCAGCAAGCUCGAUGCUAGCUGUGGGUAUCUUUCUCUGCCAUGAAAAACCAUGUCCCAGUAAAACCAUGGUCCCAUGUAAAAGUCAUGUCCCUUCUGGCCAAGUAUGAAAGUCUGUGAAUGAUUCAUACACUAAGAUUUUUUUAACUAGAGUGGAUUCUAAGAUACCCCAUAAUAAUGCCUGUCACACUCACUUUUAUUCCGAUUUGCUUUCCUGGGUGGGAAAGAAAAAGAGUAGGAGGCAGCUGUAGGUGGGGAAUUGUGCACAAGAGUGGGCUAGUCCACAGAAGUAUGCCACUCUUAUGACCAUCGUCAUCUUGUGUGUUGUGGCAGAAAACAUUGAGAACCAAACCUCUUUCAGGUUGUUAAGAGAUGGACUUCUGGAAGAUCCGUUAACAUAGUGCUUUGGAAACCAGCUUGGAAAAUGUGACACGUUGUCACUUUGAUCUGCUAAGCAGCUUACAAACAUCCUCCCGCUCCUUCCCUCCACUCUCUCCAACUUCGCUUCAGCCCCACCAUCUGAAUUUUCCAAGUGAGAUCACAGACCCAGAGUGGGUUGGCUUCAGACUCUAGGAGAGUGUCAAGGGCAGAUGUGAGAUUUGGGGACAGAAACCAUCAGUCCUCCAAAAAGUCUCCCAUGUCCCUUGAUCUUUAGCAAUAUCAAAACCCAGCCCAUCAUAUGGCAACUAACUCCUCAAUUACUCAGAGCUCCAACAUUGUCUGUGGGAGCAAUUAUAGAAAGUGUGGUGCGGGAAAGACUCAGAAGCCUCCUGGCUGGUGGGGACGUGGUCUUUCCCUGGGCUGAACUCCUGCCCCUCUAAGAAUGUAGAUGAACUCAGGCCACUUUGCCAGAAUAAAAAUAGGCCCCAGGGGCCAGGGGCCAGGGACCAGAGCUGCUUCCCUGGCGGUUUCGAAUGUGCACUGUGAAAUGAAAAGCCCAACUCAGGCUCAGUCUCUUUUCUAGGAAGUAUCAGCAACCCCUUCUAAUUCUCUGUACUGCAACUUUUGUUGCCAUGUCUGAGAGUAAAAUCUUAGGUUGCCCAACCUUCCCCCAGUGAAGCAGGAAGUCUUUGGGGGACACAUCAGGAUUUAUUUGCUAAGGCCCCCAAAUGUGUGAGCUUAGGCCCCCAUCCCUGUGCCUGGUAGCCGUGGAGUUAACGGUCCCAUUUUUAUUUGUGUCUCUGCUGCCUGUCAUGCAAGAGGCAUGAUGAAUGCCCUGGACCUCCCGUGGUGGGCGGAGGCGGUGGGAAGCGGGGGUGAAGGAUGAACUGAAGCGGGAAAGAAACGCAGGGCAGGUUCGUAAAUAAACAAGGGUUGAGUCGGAAGACCCGGGGCCUCGCUCCUGCCGCGGCUUUCCGGGCUUCGACGAGGGGAGCUCCUGAGGCUCCCUCUGGAGCAGGCUGGGGGAGGCAGUCAUUGUUUUUGGAUUUCACUAAGAUGAACGCCAGAUGAUUUUCCAAGGGCUGAUUUCACAGCACAUUUGCCCCAUCUGAGCAAUCACUCUCCGCAACAGUUGGAUUUCCAUUUGGCGUUUACCUCGUGUGCCCGGAAUCAGGACUGUCUGCCUCCUUGGGGUCGAAUCGUUUUAUUUUCUUUGGGGCUUGGCCAAACCCUUUCCGUUGGCCUUGGUUCCAUCUAGCCAUUUCUGUUUGUGUGCAGACAAGACCAGACCAGGUUCACAGAGGUUUCCAGAGUGCAGUGACAGUGCCCAAUCCUGGAAGAAUAUAAAACCUGGGGAGAGAAUCCACCAAACUGUUUUAAUUUCAGAGACAGGUACUUAGCUACAAUGGAGGAUGAAAGCCAGACCCAUAGUCAACUGGGCCUAGGAUUUCACUGAAACCAAGAGGAACUUGCAUCCAAACUGGAUUCUAGAAGAAAAGGAGAAGUAAGGAAGCUGAAGAGUGCCAGUCCCUUGGGGAUUGAAGCACUUGAGCAGUUCCAUUUGCUGCAAUUCUCUGUGUCUCUGGACCGUGGGGAUCGAUUUUAAUCCCUCAGUCUCUCCACUGCCUCCUACUCACUACCUCAAGAUCCUUGAUUGGAAAAAGCAAAUGAGGGUCUGGAAAGAGAUCAUUUCCUCAGAAGACCUGAGGAGAAAAUGCAUGAUUAGAAUAGGUGUCUGUUUUCUGAGAAUGUGAGCACCAUUAUGCUUAGGCAUCAUUUCCAAGCAAAAAGAAUCCAUGUUCGAAAUGUCGAGGUUGUUGUCUCCCAGGAAAACACAGCUGCUGAGUGAUGGUCCAAGGCCAGUGGAAGUGUAGCAGCACUGGUCGCAGACAAAACCUGUCAGACACUGGUUUUACGAAGAGGCUUUAGUCAGCUGGGAGCAUCGGUAGACUUGCGUCUCAAGGUCCAAGCUCCCUGAACUCAAGAUUCCUGUCCCUUUUAAGGGCUUACAACUCUAAGGAGUCCAUGUGAAAGGGUCGUGAUACAUUGUGCAAGAGGGGGCUAUGUGAUGGGGGCUGCACGCACCAGUGAUCAGAACAGAACAGAACUGAACCAAACAGGGAGUUACACAAUGCUUCCUCAUACAAUGUCUGGAAUCUAUAGAUAACAUAAGCGAUUAGGUCAGGGGUCGAUCUUUAACUACCAGGCCUGGGAUGUGCUGCCAGGUUGUUUGACUAUUGAAUUUCACUUCUGCCUUUUCUUUAACUCCUACUUUUUCUUUUCUUUGAGGCAGAAAUUAGGCAGAAGACAAUAUGAGAGGUGGUCUCCUUCCUUAUUCCCCACUUUGAGAAUCUCACUUAUUAGUGGGAGUUCUCAUCUUCAUCCUCACUAUCCAGGUUUUCUUGUAAGACAGAUCAAUAGUAAUUCAUGUAGUACACUUGUGCUGAAGUAUUUUGAUGGACUAAGGUAGUAACAAAACUUUUCAUUACUUGAAGGAGCAAGGGCAGCACACAGGGAAGCAACAAGCAGGUUCCUAUUACUAUUAUAAUUCCUAUUAUAAGAGUUUUAAAUCCUCCUAGCACUGGAAACCAUUUUCCAAACAUGGACUCAGGAUCAAACCCAUGCCACACCUGCAUGGGCACAUGUGCCAGCUUUGUAUAUAUCUUUAUGUCUUCAACUACUUGCCCUUGGUCGUCUGUAUGCAGACAGCAAUUGGUUAGGUUAAAUUUUCCACAGACCCCUUCUUCAGCUGCUAGCAAGUAGUGUAAGGCUAAUCUAUUUUGAUAGAUGGCAUUUCUCAUUUGGGUUUCUUGAUGGGCUAAAACAGUCAAAGCUCUGCCCGUUUCAUUAGUGAUUAUUUCUAAGACAGCUUGUAACCAUAUAAUCCGGUUGAGCAUGUAGAUGGGGGUUCAGUAUCCCUAUGAGCUGUUUUGUGCCCAUGUGGCAGGACUAUAGUACUGUGUGAUUCUUUCAGGGGGCCGCUCAUCAUCUUUCCAGUCGCCAAUGGCUAUGCUCUUUUCUCAGGAAGCGUAGACAGGGAAGCCUAGGAGCUCACCUGUUUUUAUGGGCAGUAGGAAAAAGGAUGGCUUAACGGUCCUAACGACACAACUACCUGCCCGUUGGUCAGGUAGCUUAGUGUAGGCUCUAUGCCCGCAUAUCCAGUAUAGUCCAGCUGGAGCUGCCCAGUCCCAGGGAGAUUUUGGGUGGGCCUAAACAAUUUGCAACUUAGGAAACUUACUAAAUGGAUUCUUUUUAGUAUGGUUUAGACCUUACCAGGUGACUGUUCUUAAUUUGAUUUUUAAAACUGUGACCAUAGGGGGCUCAGAUGGGUUAUAACACACAUCAGGCUGGUCACUUCCUGGGCUACAUACCUUGUACUGGGUGGCAUUAUACAAACAAGUCCUUUUUAGAGCUCCAGCACAUUUAUAAUAACUAUAGAACAAAAAGACAGUUUUAACUUUUUGACCUAACUUAGUGACCUGAUGUAUACACUGGUAACAGUCCUUAGUUUGCGGAAGGUCAGUUGAAGUCCCUACUGUACAAGUCCAAAAUAUAAGGAAAAUAAGUCCCAUGGUGAGUUUCCUCAUGCUUCGGCCAUGCAUGGACCAGUCAGCUUCCGGGUGUGACUGCAGCAGGGCUUGUUGUCUUCUUCAGAGUCACUUUGCAGGGAUUGUCCAGGCUUGGUCUCGCCUCCCAGGUCUCAGGUGCUGUGGGUUUCAUGCGGCUGUAGUGGAUCCAGGCUGGGAUUCCUUCUACUUUCACGGCUGUGGGAGUGGUCAAGACGACAGUCUGGGGUCCUUUUCACUGUGGUUGCAAGGGGGCUGCAUUCUAAUCCUUGAUCUACACCCGAUCGCCUUUGCUGUCUUCUGUACCAAGUCAGCGACAAACGCUGGCCCGUUGUCUGAGCCAAUUCAUAAAGGCAGUCCAAACCUAGGGAUGAGAUCUCCACAUUUGGGUAUCUCGGUGAAGUCUACUUGGAGAUCUUCAAAGGAGGCUGCUCCAUAAGCCUGUAUACCAGGCAGGACGGUUGGACCUUGCCCAGCAUUGUGCUGCCAGGAGAUGACACACUGCUGCACUACUGUUUUGGCAAGGGCUGACAGACACGAGAUGUAGAAGUACUGGCCUAACAACUUUUCAAGUGACUCUUGGCCUACGCGGGUGGUCUCAUGCACAGCCAGUACGACUGUGGUUCCUAGCACUUGUGGCAUGGCUAUUCUUCUGUCCGAUAACUGGAUCCAUCCUUCUUUUAUUACCUGCCCUCCCUCUGGUUGAUGAAAUGCCAGGGUGAAAGGGAUAGCCAAUUGGACUAAAGCACAAGUGCCACUCCAGUUAUUCGGCAGAGUGUCCAGUAAAGGUCCACCAUGAUACCACCACACAUCCACUUGGGGAUGAACAAAGGGUUGACUUAUUGGUAAGCUCUGGAAAAUUCUUAAGCUCACUGCAUCCCUUCAGGUCUCCAAGGAGUGCUAAGUUUCCUCCCUGUCAUGAGAGACACGAAGUGAACUUAGUGUUGGGAGACAGAAGCUGGAUGGCCCUCAGGGGCGACCCGCAAGGUGCUGAACUUCGGGAUAUAGCAGAGAGAGCUUGGCAUGACUUAUUACUCCAGGCUGUAGAAUCCUGGAAAAGAGCUACCAUGCAG
rnacentral:lncRNA from 1 species